rnacentral:rRNA from 1 species
GACGAACGCUGGCGGCGUGCUUAACACAUGCAAGUCGAACGAAGAGCGAUGGAAGCUUGCUUCUAUCAAUCUUAGUGGCGAACGGGUGAGUAACGCGUAAUCAACCUGCCCUUCAGAGGGGGACAACAGUUGGAAACGACUGCUAAUACCGCAUACGAUCUAAUCUCGGCAUCGAGGAUAGAUGAAAGGUGGCCUCUACAUGUAAGCUAUCACUGAAGGAGGGGAUUGCGUCUGAUUAGCUAGUUGGAGGGGUAACGGCCCACCAAGGCGAUGAUCAGUAGCCGGGCUGAGAGGAUGAACGGCCGCGUUGGGACUGAGACACGGCCCAGACUCCUACGGGAGGGAGCAGUGGGGAAUCUUCCGCAAUGGACGAAAGUCUGACGGAGCAACGCCGCGUGAGUGAUGACGGCCUUCGGGUUGUAAAGCUCUGUUAAUCGGGACGAAAGGCCUUCUUGCGAAUAGUGAGAAGGAUUGACGGUACCGGAAUAGAAAGCCACGGCUAACUACGUG